UUGGAGGGCAAGUCUGGUGCCAGCAGCCGCGGUAAUUCCAGCUCCAAUAGCGUAUAUUAAAGUUGUUGCAGUUAAAAAGCUCGUAGUUGAAUUUCGGGAUCAAUGUUUCGGUCAUGCCGUUGGUAUGUACUGAUAUUAUUGAUUUCUCACCUUCUAAAGAACCGUAAUGCCAUUAAUUUGGUGUCACGGGGAAUUAGGACUGUUACCUUGAAAAAAUUAGAGUGUUUAAAGCAGGCUCACGCUUGAAUACAUUAGCAUGGAAUAAUGAAAUAGGACAUCCGAUUCUAUUUUGUUGGUUUCUGGGAUCGAUGUAAUGAUUAAUAGGGAUAGUUGGGGGCAUUAGCAUUCAAUUGUCAGAGGUGAAAUUCUUGGAUUUAUUGAAGACUAACUACUGCGAAAGCAUUUGCCAAGGAUGUUUUCAUUAAUCAAGAACGAAAGUUAGGGGAUCGAAGACGAUCAGAUACCGUCGUAGUCUUAACCAUAAACUAUGCCGACUAGGGAUCGGAUGAUGUUAAUUUUUUAAUGACUCAUUCGGCGCCUUACGGGAAAC
rnacentral:rRNA from 1 species